rnacentral:rRNA from 1 species
GACGAACGCUGGCGGCGUGCUUAACACAUGCAAGUCGAACGGAAAGGCCCCUUUUGGGGUACUCGAGUGGCGAACGGGGGAGUAACACGUGCGUAACCUGCCCUUGACUUCGGGAUAACUUCAGUAAACUGGGGCUAAUACCGGGUAGGAAUCCUUGCUGCAUUGUGGGUGUUGGAAAGCUUCGGCGGUUUUGGAUGGACUCGCGGCUUAUCAGCUUGUUGGUGGGGUAGUGGCUUACCAAGGCUGUGACGGGUAGCCGGCCUGGGAGGGCGACCGGCAACAUUGGGACUGAGAUACGGACCAGACUCAUACGGGAGGCAGAAGUGGGGAAGAUUGCACAAUGGGCGGAAGCCUGAUGCAGAAACGCCGAGUGCGGGAUGACGGUCUUCGGGUUGUAAACCGAUUUCAGCAGGGGCGAAGCUUGUGGUGACGGUACCUGGAGAAGAAGCACCGGCUAACUACGUG